ACGGGCUCUGCGACCGCUCCGGGGCGGCCCAGCGUGCACUGCGCCGGCCAGUUUGACAGCCGGGCGCCCUACUCGGCUAGCUCUGCUCCCAGCCAGGGACGCUGGCCUUCUCGCGGCUUUCCCCCGAUGUCUCUCUUUAUUCCAGCUGCCUGAAACUCGGUCCCACGAAUGGCAGGCAGCGUCCAAAAUUCAACCCCGUAAAGCCAGCACCAGCCAAUAAAGCGCACGGAUGGAGGCCACGUGACAGCAGUGGGCCGGCCCUCCGGCUGAGCCCUGAUCUCUAUGGUUUCCGCGGCUCGCUAGAAGGAGUGCGGUCCACUGGAGGUCUCCCUACAUUCUUCCUCCAUUAUCUCACUGCCUCCGGUGGCUGCUGGGAUACCGGAGGACUCGGGUCCCGGCUCGACUCAGUCCUCCAGCCGCCCGGGGAAUACCUCUAGUUCUUCCCGGCCGCCGCCGCCUCCGCCCCGCCGCUUCCUCCUCCGCCUGCCGGCCUCCUUCGCCCCGCCCCGUCCGCGCAGCUCGUCCGGCCCGCCCGCAGGCCAGCUUCUCUCGGGAGCCUCCACCCAGGCGCAUGGCUCCAUGAAGCAAGAGGAGGAGGCAGAGCGCGAGAGAUCCCGUCCGCCCCAGCCGCGUCUGGGCCAGGAGAAAAGCAAAACCAUAUUCCUGCUGCUGUCAGUUUUGAUGCACUGAGAAAACUUCAGAGACCUAAGCUUUUUCCAGAGAAGAGAAGCUUUACUGGUGUUCCAGCCCUAAGAAACUUAAAUCCUCAGUGUGACACAACUCAGUCCUUCUACUGCAGCAGCUCUUUUAUAAAAGCCUCCCAAAGCUCCAAGAAGGAACAAAGAAUGUGACCCAGUAAGCUCACACCAUAAGUCUAUAUUGCAGAAACCUUUGUUCAACAAAACUGCAGAUGCUCUGUUGAAUCCACUGGAGAUUGUCCUGAUACUAAGGACAAGUAUGCUCAUAUGACAUUAACAGACAAGACACUUUUCAGAAAGACAGGCAACGUGUUGGACCUUCCGGAGCUUCUCAGAAGACAGAGGGUUUUCUUUUGAGGCUGUUGUACAGUGGCCUGAUUAUAGCUCACUGUAGCCUCGAAAUUCUGGGCCGAAAUGAUCCGCCUGCCUCAGCCUCCAAAGUAGCUGAGACUACAGACAAAUCAACUCAAUCAAAGAAACCAACUCAAAGAAAGAUGGGUCUACAUACAACAAAACUGAACAAAAUCUGCAAGAAGAGUGAUUCAUACAUGGGCUAUUGAGGCAACAUGAGAUGGACAUUAAUCGACUAAGUAAAAAACAGAUUUCUUGAAGAAUUAAUAAAGAACUUUUGUUUUGGAAGUUCUCUAUUGUUUAAAAUUAGCCAGAUGUGGUGGCCUGCACCUACAGUCCCAGCUACUCAGGAGGCUGAGGUGGAAGGAUCACUUGAGCCCAAGAGGCGGAGGUUGCAGUGAGCUGAGACUGUGCCGCUGCACUACAGACAGCCUCCUGCAUGACAGAGCCAGACCCUGUCUCAAAAUUUGGGGGGGAGUAAAGUUCUCUAUUGUUUGAAAUAAUAACGAAACAUUAAAGGCUCUAAAGUCAGCUAACGAAUAGUCCUAAAAAUAGAAUGGCUCAAAAAGAUUGUCCAAUUUUGGAAAACUAACAUUUCAAAAAGUUGUUUCAUUUUUUAUGAAUCCUAAGAUUUCCAUAUCCUAGAAAACUAACAUCUCAGAAAAAAAAAAAGAUGGUAAAACACAAUUGCCAUCAUCUAUGCCUGUUCUGGAAAAAUACAGAGAAGAAGAGAGUGUUUGGUUUUUUUAACCAGGAUUUGGAAAGCCAUUAUUUAUCUCUGUGAUAGAAUAACAAUAUGUUUUGGAUGGAGGGUAAUUCUAGGGGAAAUUAUAUUUCUGAAGAACAAUGUUGGUUUGUGCAGGAAAAUCACCAAAGAACAUGACUAGAAAGUGUAUAGCUACAGUUUCCCUCUUUUAAAUGGGAAUAGCAAAACAUAUAAAGAAUAUUGAUAGGCCGGGUGCGGUGGCUCACGCCUGUAAUCCCA
rnacentral:lncRNA from 1 species